rnacentral:rRNA from 1 species
CCCUUAGAUGUUCUGGGCCGCACGCGCGCUACACUGACGAAUGCAACGAGCUUAUAACCUUGGCCGAUAGGUCUGGGUAAUCUUUGAACGCUGUUCGUGAUUGGGAUAGACCUUUGCAAUUAUGGGUCAUCAACGAGGAAUUCCUAGUAAACGCAAGUCAUCAGCUUGCAUUGAUUACGUCCCUGCCCUUUGUACACACCGCCCGUCGCACCUACCGAUUGAAUGGUCCGGUGAAAUCUCGGGACGGCGGCUUGGUCGCUUGCGUCCGACUGCUGAAACUUGAUUAAACCAUAUCAUUUAGAGGAAGGUGAAGUCGUANCA